rnacentral:rRNA from 1 species
CGCUGGCGGCGCGCUUAACACAUGCAAGUCGAGCGAGAACCGGACCUCGGUCCGGGGAAAGCGGCGAACGGGUGAGUAACACGUGGGUAAUCUGCCCUCGGCGAUCGGGAUAGCCCGGGAAACCCGGAUUAAUACCGAGUAGCCUCCGAAGCCUGCGGGCGUCGGAGAAAAGGUGGCUUCGGCUUCCGGCUGAGGAUGAGCCCGCGGCGGAUUAGCUUGUUGGCGGGUAACGGCCACCAAGGCGACGAUCCGUAGCUGGUCUGAGAGGACGAUCAGCCACACUGGGACUGAGACACGGCCCAGACUCCUACGGGAGGCAGCAGUGGGGAAUCUUGCGCAAUGGGCGAAAGCCUGACGCAGCCGACGCCGCGUGCGGGAAGAAGGCCUUCGGGUUGUAAACCGCUUUCAGGAGGGACGAAGCCACUCGGGUUAAUACCCCAGAGGGUGACGGUACCUCCAGAAGAAGCCCCGGCUAACUACGUGCCAGCCGCCGC